rnacentral:rRNA from 1 species
GACGAACGCUGGCGGCGUGCUUAACACAUGCAGGUCGAACGGAAAGGCCCUGCUUUUGUGGGGUGCUCGAGUGGCGAACGGGUGAGUAACACGUGAGUAACCUGCCCUUGACUUUGGGAUAACUUCAGGAAACUGGGGCUAAUACCGGAUAGGAGCUCCUGCUGCAUGGUGGGGGUUGAAAGUUUCGGCGGUUGGGGAUGGACUCGCGGCUUAUCAGCUUGUUGGUGGGGUAGUGGCUUACCAAGGCUUUGACGGGUAGCCGGCCUGAGAGGGUGACCGGCCACAUUGGGACUGAGAUACGGCCCAGACUCCUACGGGAGGCAGCAGUGGGGAAUAUUGCACAAUGGGCGGAAGCCUGAUGCAGCAACGCCGCGUGCGGGAUGACGGCCUUCGGGUUGUAAACCGCUUUCGCCUGUGACGAAGCGUGAGUGACGGUAAUGGGUAAAGAAGCACCGGCUAACUACGUG